rnacentral:lncRNA from 1 species
ACACAAAAAAGAAGCGACUCUCUUGCUUGUUAUCACAAAGCAAACUCAUUUCUCUGAGCUUUUGCUGGAUUUUAGGUGGCUUUGUGCAGCCUUUAUCUUGAUUUUGUUUCUCUUUUUCUGUUUCCAUUACCACCAACUCGAUCAGUGCUGUCAAAGCCACCUACUUAGCAUCAUUUCUGGUCCUUAGACAAGCCACUUUCUUUCCAACUCAAACCAGCAGUCUCCUCUCUCUCCUUCUCUCUCUCUCUCUCUCUCUUCUGGGCCCAAGAGAUUCUGAAGCAGAGCACAGCUGUGUGGAGCUCUUAUCUUCUUCUUCUUCUGGCACAAGAACAGCUGUCUUCUGAAGCCGAGCACCACCGCGGGUUAAGAGGUAAUAACAUCAUUUUAAAUUUUUAUUUUAUUUUUAAUUAAUAUAAAUAUAUUUUUUUAACACCGAAUCGUUAUAUUAGGGAUAUUUGUACAAUAACAGAGUUUUACAAGGAUAUAUAUGCAAUUUGAAAGAAUAUUCACAGAAAAUUCGAUAUUUAGAAGGAUAUUCAUGAAAAAAAACUCUUAAAACUACCAUCACUAUUAUUUUAUGGGCUGUUAAAUGCUUUUGUGGCCCUCCUCUUAUAUUGUUUACGUAACUGUUCUUUUAUCUGUUGAUACAAAGAAUUGAAAAUUUUCAAAAAAGUAUUUCUUCUCUAAGAGAAGUGUCAAUCGUUAAUAUCAAGUGUUAUUCUCACUGUAUAACAGUAGAGCAAAAGGAGCAACCAGCAGAGGAACUCUCUCUAGUGGUCAGCAAGAUUUGGCCGGUCAUCGUAUCUUCCUUUCCCCUCUCUCUCUCCUUUCCUCCUUUUCUCUCUCUCUUCAUCCCCCUCUUCUCCUUUUCUUUCCUCCUUCUCCCCUGGCUUUCAAUAUUGUGGCCGAUCAGAUCUAGAACUAUCCAAACGCUAGACCCCUUUUUUUCAGUGCUCAAAGCAAAGGUGAGGUAGAGACAUGUCCCUAAUCUUAUCUUAUGGGGAAGAAAGAAGUCCAGCAGAGCGAAGCAAUCGAGUAAAUCUGCGUCAGUCAGCCAUGUUGUAUUGUGAUCUGGUGG